CAAACUUACUCAUGAGAAACAGCAGAGGUUGAAGAAAUUCUAGAGCCUGAGUAUGACAAUCUCCCAUCCUUGCAAGAGUCUGAAGGCUAUUAUUCUAAGCACAACCAGGUGGUUCCAUGCCAAGGAUGUCAAACUCAGAGCUUUCGAAAGCAGCUGCCUUCUUAAAAUAGACCAAGAGAAUUCCUCUUGUUCAGAUGACAUAAUGAGGCUGAGAUACAAAUGAGGAGGGAAGCAGCAGCAGGUAUGUUUUGACUGAUUCUUCUUUCCUGGCAUCUUAUUAAAAU
rnacentral:lncRNA from 1 species